rnacentral:tRNA from 1 species
GCCCCAGUGGCGCAAUAUGGAUAGCGCGUCGGACUUCUAAUCGGAGGUUGAGGCGUUUCGAGUCCCUCCUGCGGGU